rnacentral:tRNA from 1 species
GGCAAUCAUACUCAGUGGAGAGCACUGGUUUUGUAAACCGGGGGUCGUGAGUUCGAUCCUCACUGGGGUUU